AGACGUUCCUCAUCUGUCUGAACGAUUAAACAUCUCAGAGACAAGACGUUCUCAUCUGUCUGAACUAUUGACUAUCUCAGAGACAAGACGUUUCUCAUCUGUCUGAACUAUUAACCAUCUCAGAGACAAAGGCUGGGGAUCCCUGAUUAGAGGGGAAUCACCCACGUGCUGUCCCAGGUCUGAAUCAGGCCCUGAUUAUAGGGGAAUCACCCACUUGUUGUCCCAGGUCUAAAUCAGGCCCUGAUUAGAGGGGAAUCGCCCACGUGUUGUCCCAGGUCUAAAUCAGGCCCUGAUUAGAGGGGAAUCGCCCACGUGUUGUCCCAGGUCUAAAUCAGGCCCUGAUUAUAGGGGAAUCGCCCACGUGUUGUCCCAGGUCUAAAUCAGGCCCUGAUUAUAGGGGGAACAAUGAUAAAAGCAGCAGAACUGCCUUCCCAGGGCCAGAGUUGAAUUUGAGGAUUACAGGGAAAAGGAUGCCAUUUGGAACACACCCAUAAUGUUUCUAAACCAUCUCUUCCUCUGGCUGCUUGCCUGGGAGUCCAACAGCUUCUAACUGAGUCACACUAACUGGCUAUAAGGAUUAUUAUAAUAACUGGCUAGAACCAUGGAACCAGAGUUUUGAACUGGUUAGAACCAUAGAACCAUCGUUGAGAACUGGCUAGAACCAUGGAACCAUAGUUGAGAACUGGCUAGACCCCAUGGAACCAUAGUUGAGAACUGGUUAGAACUGGCUAGAACCAUGGAACCAUAGUUGAGAACUGGCUAGAACCAUGGAACCAUAGUUGAGAACUGGCUAGAACCAUGGAACCAUAGUUGAGAACUGGCUAGAACCAUGGAACCAUCGUUGAGAACUGGUUAGUACUGGCUAGAACCAUGGAACCAUAGUUGAGAACUGGUUAGAACUGGCUAGAACCAUGGAACAAUAGUUGAGAACUGGCUAGAACCACGGAACCAUAGUUGAGAACUGGCUAGAACCAUGGAACCAUAGUUGAGAACUGGUUAGAACUGGCUAUAACCAUAGUUUAGAACUGGUUAAAACCAUAGAACCAUGCCUGUCUGUCUGUCUGUCUGUCCUAGAUUCUAAUACGCUACAGGGAUCUCUAUGCACCCUGACUAGAACACACAGCUGUGAUGCCAUUCGGAGGUUGACAUUAAUAAGGAUUCUAGGGGAAAACGUGAUGAUCUGAACCACGUGUGUCUGUGAUGUAAUACACGUCUUUGUGAUGACGAAGAGCACAACUCUUUAUUGAUGAAACACUCUCCUGUCUGAAACCUCUUGCGUAGUCUAAUAUCGGGCGCUGCUAUUGGCCCGUGAGCACAAAGGGGGAAAUCCGAUUGGUUGUGGCGGUGCUUUGCUUGGUUUUCUAUGUAACUCUGUUUCUUGGCAAAUUUAAUGAAACUGAUUUUUUUAUUCUUUUCAUAAUGUGGCAUUUGUAUUUCAACUUAAAGCCCAAUAAAACUUCACAGUGUAAAAUGUU